GAACACCGGGGGUCCCAUGGGGGGCGCGCGCGACUACAAGGCGACCCUCCCUGCCCCCGGCCACCGAUGGAACGGCCCGCUCCGCCGCCGUCACGUGGACUCCUCCUCCGUGACGUCGGCGUCUUCGCUGUAGCAAAGCUCGGCCUCUGGAAUUCUGAGAACUAAUUUGCUAUUCGGUGACAUAAGAGGGGGAGUGCGCUUCGCUUUCCCGGGGUCUGGGGCUAAUUCUUCCUCUCCUACCCAUAAACUCGGCUCCUCGAGCUAAAUACACAAAAGGGAGCCAGAGAUUUGAGCUGUUAGAACCAGUAUGUUAGAGGCAGGUUUAGAGAGGCGAGUGAGGGAGAAAACAAUAAAUACCACAGCUCUUUCCAGCUAGAAUAUUAGGCACCACGAGAAAAAUAUUUGCCAAGCAGUUUUCGAAUUCUCCACACCACACUCCUGAGGAUUCCCUAGAGAACCAUGCAGUUCCCUGCACUCUGCACCCGAGCCUCUAUGCCUUGAUCUCUUCUGUCUUGAAGUAGAGCAAAUACAGAGCCAUCCCCAGGACAUUAUAGUAAAUAAAAGAGGAUCUCCAUAAGGAUUAAAGAAAAUGUCAGCAUAGAUGUUGAGGGGAGAGAGACAACCCACCAUCUUCAAGAGGCAAUGAUCAAGCAAGUAAAACAGUUGAGUGUGACAUUUGUUACGUAUUAAGUAAAAAAAGAAUAACUACUCAAAAACCCAUCUCAUGAAGCUACAGAGAUGGCAAAGGAUAAGUGCCUGAUGCUUGAGUACGGAGACUUGAGUUCGGACACUCAGCAGCCAUGUGAAAGCCAUGGCAAGGUGGUGAAUCUGUAACCUAGUGUACGCCUGGGGACACAGAAGGAAGGCAGGAAGAGUCAGACCCAUCCUCAGUCUGGCCAAUUGCUGAGCAUUGGGUUCCAUGAGAGAUCCUGUUUCCAUACUCAUGUGCAUGCAAUGCACACUCCCGUACAGAGGCACACAUACCUCCCCCAAUAUACUCACACACACACACACACACACACACACACACACACACACACACACACACAGAGAGAGAGAGAGAACACAGUUUUUAAAAGCCCAUCUUAGAGGCCAGAGAGAUGGCUCUCUUGGUGACACAAACACCAAGACCGGAAACAGAGACUCAGCACCCAUAUAAAAGCCAGACCCUGUGGCGUACAUCUGGCUCAUGGGUGAAGACAGGUAGACCCCGGAGAUCAAUGGUCAACAAGCCUAGAUGAAUUGAUGAACUUUGGGUUCAGUGAGAGACACUGCCCCAAAAGAUAUGGAAGAGAGACCAGUUAAGGAAGAUCAAGGCAGAUACUCAAUGAUCAAUCUCUAGUUUCUACCUGCAUGCAUAUAUGUAUUCACACACAGCCGUCUGCACGUGUACAUAUACAGCCUGAACAUAUAUACCACACUCACACAACAUAAAACUAAAUGAAUAAAGAUUUUAAAAGCCUUCCUUCUUUUCUUCUCUUCCUUGGCCACCUCCCCUCUAGUCCUUCCUCUUAAAGGUUGGCUCCAAACUCACCACAUAGCCUAGAUUGGCCUUGAAGAUCUAACCUUCCCUACCUCUCAAGUUCUGAGAUUAAAGGUGUGUGUUACCAUGUCAGGCUCAUCCCAUGCUUUGUAUAGUCUCCAGUAAGUACUUAAAUGGAACAGAAAUCAGGGUAUUCCACACAAAUGGAUGGGCCACACACCUCCAAAGGGAAGGUGGCAGGCAUGAGAAUAUCUACAAUUUAAAGCCAAAUGAUCAAUAGACCAUUUAUUUUUAGAUUCCUAGAAGCGAAGAGGCAAGAAUAUUGUUGUAUAUGGUCUAAAUGCUGAAAAUGGGUGAAUCACCACAAAAAUUAGGAUCCUAGACAAUGUCAACAUUGGGCAAGUACAGUCUCCCACUCUGGUUCAAUAUUCCCCCACCCAAUCAUCCCAUUCCCCCAAAUCUUUCACCCAACCAUACUUGUAGGUCUUCCCAUCCCUAUAUCUAGGCAGAUCAAAGCAGAGGAACCUCUGUACCAAGGUAUGAUGACCUCCUCACUGGAAACUGGGAGACUGGGAUGGUCCAAGGAGAGAGUACUGUAUUGUAAGACUUGAGGAGGUCAGAACAGAAAGAGUUUGACCACCCACUUGGCAGUACUUUCUCAGAAAUGGUCCACAGGAAUAUAUGUUAAGUAAACUUUAAUAUGAAAUUAUAAAGAGAAGGCUCAAUUGGCCAGGCCAAAUGUGGGAGGGAGCAUGUUCAGGCCAAGGAAACAGGAGUGAAACAUUACACAGAGUAAAUUCAUGUUUUGUUCUAAUGGCUGAAAUGGGCUGAUAUGGGAGAAGAUCAGGAUGUAGAUGGCUCUUCACAGGCCACAGUUAAGACUUUAUAGGUUAUUCCAGAUGUUCAACAUAUCAUGGAAGGUUGUUAGCAAGAUGGUAGACAGAUCUGACUUUUGUCUUAAGACAAAAUUUGUACACUAUUUCUGUGAUAAAGCACCGUGACCCAAAGCAACUUGGGAAGGAAAGGUUUUAUAUAUUUUGGCUUAAAGCUUACAUUAUCAGAGGAAGACAAGACAGGAACCUGGAGGCAGGAACUAAAUAAAGCAGAGGCCACGCGGGAGUGCUACUUAUUGGCCUGCUCCUCACAUCUUUCUCAGCCUAGUUUCUUAUACAACUCAGGACAACCCACUCAAAAGUGGGACUACCCACAGUGUGUUGAGUCCUCACACAGCAUUCAUUAAUGAAGAAAAUCGCCCACAUGCUUGCCUAUAGGCCUAUCUUAUACUUGCCCCCUUCCUCGGUUGAUAUUCAUUUUCUUGAAUGAUCCUAGCUUGUGACAAGUAGACAAGCAAACCAAACUCACCAGCACGUAAUUCUACCUGUUUAGGGGAAGAAAGAGACCAGAAGGGAAUCUUCUAAAAAGUCUAUUAUAGAAUCCCUGGUAUGAAAGGUAUUAACAUAGACUAAGGAGUUAGCCUUGUAGAUAGUGAGGCAUAAAAAGACUUGAGACGCACUGCCAAGGGAGAAUCGACAAGACUUAACAACAGAUCUGACUACACUGUGGAGAGUGGAAGGGCAGUAGAGCUGGCAAUAAUAAAUUUCAUUUUCCUUUAAACUAGGUAGCUCAAGGACUAACAGGGUAAAGAAAUAUGUGGGUGUGGGUGGGAAUUGUUCAGAACUCAGUUUUGAACAUUAUAUACUUAAGAUGUCCCUGAGGUAGAAGUUUUAAGACAGGCAAUUGAAUACUCAAGACCUGAACUUAAAAAAAAAAAAAGAUACCAGUUUGGAGAUACAAAUUUGGAAUUCAUUAAUUUUUGAUAGUAGGGGAAAGAAUUUAUUUUUGUAGCAGACCACUUUAAAACCAAAACAAUAACAACAAAAGAACCAAGCCAAAAGUGGUGGCUCACUCCUGGGUACCAGCCCCCAGAUGGCUGGGGAAAAGACGUCAUGAGGUUAAUGCUACCAUAGAUUACAGCGAGUUCUCGGGCAAUCUGAGCUACAGUGUGAGUCCCAGCUUUACUGGAACAGCACCCACUGCCCCCAAACAGUAAGGUGAAACAGUCCUUAGAAAUACUUCAGACAAACUUCUCAAUUACAGAGAAAUCAGCUGAAACAAAUGAACUCCCUGGCAAAAAUGGGUUGGUGAGAACAGCUAGCACCAUUGGCCUAAGGAGAACGUUCUUCAUCUCAUAAUGUACUCUCAAGGUUUGACAUUCAAGAGACUGAAGCUGACAAACCCUCUGAUUGAACUGUGUAGAUGUAUGUGGUUCAUGGCCACCACCUUUUCUUCAUUUUAUAAUCACAUCCACUAUGUGCGAACCGCCACACACUCUCAGAACUGACUUCUCCACUUCAUUUAAAGUCAAGAAGGAGUUGUCUUCUUGAUUCCUUCUUUAUCAGAACAUUAGGUAUGGUCAUUUGGGAUGGAAAUAACUGGACAGUUUGCUAGCCUACUACAGUGGUUCUCAACUUGUGGGCCGUGACCUUUUUGGGGGUCAAAUGAACCUUUCACAGAGGUCACCUAUCAGAUAGGUGGAACUAUAUUAAAGGGUUGCAGCACUAGGAAAGUUGAGAACCACUGUAUUAAGCCUCGGCAUAAUGACUAAGCCUAACGCACAUUUUAUAAGUCCCUAUUAUUUGGCACUCAAGUCCAAUUAGCAUUUGCUUGUAAUUGAACUCUUUCCUUUUGAAUUCGAGUAUGUAAAGAUUAAGACCAUUCUUUUCUUCUCCUUGAAACCUUAAUCUAGACCUAACAUGUAGGUUAAGCAGUUUAUCCAUCAAAUACAUGGUUAGGGUAAGAGGCAACCAGUGAAUAGGAACUUCUAUUAAACUUUUUGUAAUAUCUUGGUUUACCUUUCUGUUUUUCCAUGUGCACACAUUUGCCGUGAGUAUAUUACAUGUCAGUUAGAGUAUAACUGAUUGUAAUGCUUUUCAGUCUUUAAAAAUAGAAUUGUGUUAUGGUAACAUAACCAUUAGUAUGACCCAAUAACCCUAAAGGUACAGUGUUGGCACACAUAACUUGGCAGUGACCAACAGAUUUCUAAUUGGACUUAAGACCCACUCAACGAGAGGGAAAUCAUAUUUGGUACUGAAAAGCUGGCAAGUUACUCGGGGCUGGUAAAGUUAUGACAAUUGGAAGAGAAGCCUACCACCACCACUUUAUUAAACCAGUGUAGUCCCUAACUACGUUCUAAGUGUUGGUCCUUCUACCCACGGAUACGUGUAGUCUUCUCCUCUUGAAGGAAACUUCUUUGUACAGAAGA